GACGAACGCUGGCGGCGUGCUUAACACAUGCAAGUCGAGCGGUAAGGCCCUUUCGGGGUACGACGAGCGGCGAACGGGUGAGUAACACGUGGGUGACCUGCCCUUAGCUCUGGGAUAAGCCUGGGAAACUGGGUCUAAUACCGGAUAUGACUCCAUGACGCAUGUUGUGGGGUGGAAAGCCUUGUGCGGCUAGGGAUGGGCCCGCGGCCUAUCAGCUUGUUGGUGGGGUGAUGGCCACCAAGGCGACGACGGGUAGCCGGCCUGAGAGGGCGACCGGCCACACUGGGACUGAGACACGGCCCAGACUCCUACGGGAGGCAGCAGUGGGGAAUCUUGCGCAAUGGGCGAAAGCCUGACGCAGCGACGCCGCGUGAGGGAUGACGGCCUCGG
rnacentral:rRNA from 1 species